GUCAUUUUGUAACUGGCUUCCUUAAUUGUCACUGUUGUUAACAAGUUUUCAAUGGAUUUUGUGUUAGUUUCCAGCAAUCAUGUCAAAUUACUAUAAUUGUUCCUUUUUCUUUCCUAUUAGUGCUCAGGGGAUCAUCUUCAAUCUUGGGAAUUAGAAACUCUGAAAUCUUGAUAUCUUAUCCUGUCUUCUGCAAAACUCUACCGAACACUUUCCUGGGUGGGUUGCUCCAGUUGUAUCUACUUUUUUCUCAUUGUGCUAUCGUUUGUAUAAACAGGGCGUCAUUAAGGUCACUGGGGGAGGAGGGUGCCUGAGUGAUUCAGUGGCAUUUGGACCCUCCAUAUCAUUCCAUCAAACUCCUCAU
rnacentral:lncRNA from 1 species